AUCAAGUGCGCAGCCAUGUCUUCCUCCUCCGCCUCCUUCCAGUCGACCCUCGACGGUGGAGCCCCGGAGAAGCUAACCCGCGGCAACUAUGUUCUGUGGCGGACGCAGAUCACGCCACAGCUGCGGGGCACCGGCCUCUUCCACUACGUAGAUGGCACGGCAACCGAGCCGGCCGAAGUCCUCACCACCAAGGACGCCGCCGACAAGGAGACCACUGGGCCGAAUCCCCUUCAUCCGCUCUGGGUGAGAGAGGAUCAACAGGUCCUCGGCUAUCUCCUCCAACACCUCUCCAAGGAAGUGCUCAUCACGGUGACCACGAUCACCACGGCGCGCGCUCUUUGGGUGGCACUGGCGAACAUGUUUUCGUCACAAUCACUCAGCCGCGUCAACAACAUCCGGACAGCGCUGAUCAAUGCGCAGAAGGGCAAUCAAUCGGUGGCCACCUUCUUCGCCGCCAUGAGGGGUCUCGCCGAUGAACUUGCCGCGGCGGGAAAACCCAUCCAGGACGACGAGUUGAUCUCCUACAUCAUCCAUGGGCUGGACCAAUACUACCAGCCCCUCGUCUCCGCACUAGAUGCCCGUGUCACUCCGGUAACUCUCGAUGAACUUUUUGCCAUGCUCAGUAACUUUGAUCAACGCAUGGCACAGUAUCAUGGUCCCGGUGGUGGCUUCAAGUCGUCAGCCAACUCUGUAUCUAGAGGCCACGGUGGUGGCUCUCGCUCGCGUUCAUCUUCCCGUGGCAAGGGGAGGUUCGGCUCCGGCGGCAGUGGCUACUCCAACGGCUACUCCAACAACUCACGCGGCGGCGGGCGCUCCGGCAACUCCAAAGGGCAUGGUGGUGGUGGCAGUGGUGGUUCCAACCGGUCCCGUUCGGACCUGCCUCGCUGCCAAAUUUGCGGCAAGCCUGGUCAUACGGCAAAGGACUGUUGGUACCGC
rnacentral:rRNA from 1 species